rnacentral:rRNA from 1 species
AUUGAACGCUGGCGGCAGGCCUAACACAUGCAAGUCGAACGAGUGGCGGACGGGUGAGUAAUGUCUGGGAACCUGCCCGAUGGAGGGGGAUAACUACUGGAAACGGUAGCUAAUACCGCAUACCAUCGGAUGUGCCCAGAUGGGAUUAGCUAGUUGGUGGGGUAAUGGCUCACCUAGGCGACGAUCCCUAGCUGGUCUGAGAGGAUGACCAGCCAAACUGGAACUGAGACACGGCCCAGACUCCUACGGGAGGCAGCAGUGGGGAAUAUUGCACAAUGGGCGAAAGCCUGAUGCAGCCAUGCCGCGUGUAUGAAGAAGGCCUUCGGGUUGUAAAGUACUUUCGGCGGGGAAGCGGUACUCGCAGAAGAAGCACCGGCUAACUCCGUGCCAGCAGCCGCGGUAAUUC